UUCCAGGCCCCGAUCGAAGCCAUGUUGGGUUUCACGCCGUACCCAGAGUGGUCAAAACGGGAGCCCAGAGGAAACUUUUUCGAACGACGGUCGCUGUCCAGUUUGAUCCUGUAACUGACUGCAGCAACAUUUGUGAGAAAAGACAGCC
ensembl:snoRNA